UACGGGGGGGGCAAGCGUUGUUCGGAAUUACUGGGCGUAAAGGGCUCGUAGGUGGCCAACUAAGUCAGACGUGAAAUCCCCAGGCUCAACUUGGGAACUGCGUCUGAUACUGGAUGGCUUGAAUUCGGGAGAGGGAUGCAGAAUUCCAGGUGUAGCGGUGAAAUGCGUAGAUAUCUGGAGGAAUACCGGUGGCGAAGGCGGCAUCCUGGACCGACACUGACGCUGAUGCGCGAAAGCCAGGGGAGCAAACGGG
rnacentral:rRNA from 1 species